UGGAUGGAUGGAUGGAGGUCAUUGCGCAGCCCGCCCCAGCCCCCCACUGCCCACCCGAACCCUUUGCUGACAGGCACUGCUGACAACAGCCACGGCGGGGGAGGACAACCAGGCGGGGGAGGGCCGGGCAGGCACCAGCAUGUUAAUAAUACAGACCUUGGCCCAGGCACCCUGCAGGCAGGUGCUGCCUCCUCGGGAGCCUUCUUAAGCCUUGCAGGCCAGGUCUGCUGUCCCUGUGCUCCCCCCGUCACUACACUAUCACUCUGGGUGACAUCACCUGGCUUCAGGGGUGUGGUCUACAGCACUGGCACCAGAAAACCUCUGUGGGCUGAAGAAACACCUGAUCUCCUCUUUCUGGGCAUUUUUUCCUCGUGCAUUUCCAAUUCUAAUUGGAGUGUUGUUCACUGUGAACAUACUGCUUCACAAAUCAGAAAACCUGCCCUAGCUGGUUUGGCUCAGUGGAUAGAGCAUUGGCCUGUGGACUGAGGGGUCCCAGGUUCGAUUCCAGUCAAGGG